rnacentral:rRNA from 1 species
AACAUGCAGUUCGAGCGGGCGUACCANUACGUACGCGGCAGUACRGRUGAGUAACGCGUGGCAACGUACCUUUUGGUUCGGAACAWCACAGGGAAACUUGUGCUAAUACCGGAUAAGCCCUUACGGGGAAAGAUUUAUCKCCGAAAGAUCGGCCCGCGUCUGAUUAGCGUAGUUGGUGAGGUAACGGCUCACCAWGGCKACKAUCAGUAGCUGGUCUGAGAGGAUGAUCAGCCACAUUGGGACUGWGACACGGCCAAMACUCCUACKGGAGGCASCAGUGGGGAAUAWUGGACAAUGGRCGCAAGCCUGAUCCAKCCAUGCCGCGUGASUGAUGAAGGCCCUAGGGUUGUAAAGCUCUUUUGUGCGGGAAGAUAAUGACGGUACCGCAUKAAUAMGCCCCGGCUAACUUCGWGCCA